GAUGAACGCUGGCGGCGUGCCUAAUACAUGCCAGUCGAGCGAACGGACGAGAAGCUUGCUUCUCUGAUGUUAGCGGCGGACGGGUGAGUAACCCGUGGAUAACCUACCUAUAAGACUGGGAUAACUUCGGGAAACCGGAGCUAAUACCGGAUGAUAUUUUGAACCGCAUGGUUCAAAAGUGAAAGACGGUCUUGCUGUCACUUAUAGAUGGAUCCGCGCUGCAUUAGCUAGUUGGUAAGGUAACGGCUUACCAAGGCAACGAUGCAUAGCCGACCUGAGAGGGUGAUCGGCCACACUGGAACUGAGACACGGUCCAGACUCCUACGGGAGGCAGCAGUAGGGAAUCUUCCGCAAUGGGCGAAAGCCUGACGGAGCAACGCCGCGUGAGUGAUGAAGGUCUUCGGAUCGUAAAACUCUGUUAUUAGGGAAGAACAUAUGUGUAAGUAACUGUGCACAUCUUGACGGUACCUAAUCAGAAAGCCACGGCUAACUACGUG
rnacentral:rRNA from 1 species